rnacentral:rRNA from 1 species
CGGGUGAGUAACACGUGGAUAACCUACCUAUAAGACUGGGAUAACUUCGGGAAACCGGAGCUAAUACCGGAUAAUAUUUUGAACCGCAUGGUUCAAAAGUGAAAGACGGUCUUGCUGUCACUUAUAGAUGGAUCCGCGCUGCAUUAGCUAGUUGGUAAGGUAACGGCUUACCAAGGCAACGAUGCAUAGCCGACCUGAGAGGGUGAUCGGCCACACUGAACUGAGACACGGUCCAGACUCCUACGGGAGGCAGCAGCC